rnacentral:misc_RNA from 1 species
UACGGAGGGUGCAAGCGUUAAUGGGAACUACUGUUCCUAAAGCGCGCGUAGGUGGCUUGAUAAGCCGGUUGUGAAAGCCCCGGGCUCAACCUGGGAACGGCAUCCGGAACUGUCAAGCUAGAGUGCAGGAGAGGAAGGUAGAAUUCCCGGUGUAGCGGUGAAAUGCGUAGAGAUCGGGAGGAAUACCAGUGGCGAAGGCGGCAUUCUGGACUGACACUGACACUGAGGUGCGAAAGCGUGGGUAGCAAACAGG